AAGAUAUUAGUAAAAUAAUUACAUGACUUUGUCAAAGUUAAUUUAUAGGUUAAAUUCCUAUAUAUCUUC
rnacentral:tRNA from 1 species